rnacentral:rRNA from 1 species
AUUGAACGCUGGCGGAAUGCUUUACACAUGCAAGUCGAGCGGCAGCACGGGGGCAACCCUGGUGGCGAGCGGCGAACGGGUGAGUAAUACAUCGGAACAUGCCCAGUCGUGGGGGAUAACACUUCGAAAGAAGUGCUAAUACCGCAUACGUCCUGAGGGAGAAAGCGGGGGAUCGCAAGACCUCGCGCGUUUGGAGUGGCCGAUGUCAGAUUAGCUAGUUGGUGGGGUAAAGGCCUACCAAGGCAACGAUCUGUAGCUGGUCUGAGAGGAUGAUCAGCCACACUGGGACUGAGACACGGCCCAGACUCCUACGGGAGGCAGCAGUGGGGAAUUUUGGACAAUGGGGGCAACCCUGAUCCAGCCAUUCCGCGUGAGUGAAGAAGGCCUUCGGGUUGUAAAGCUCUUUCGGCAGGAACGAAACGGCGAGCUCUAACAUAGCUUGCUAAUGACGGUACCUGAAGAAGAAGCACCGGCUAACUACGUG